AUUGAACGCUGGCGGCAUGCCAUACACAUGCAAGUCGAACGGCAGCACGGGAGCAAUCCUGGUGGCGAGUGGCGAACGGGUGAGUAAAGUAUCGGAACGUGCCCAGUCGUGGGGGAUAACGUAGCGAAAGUUACGCUAAUACCGCAUACGAUCUAUGGAUGAAAGCGGGGGAUCGCAAGACCUCGCGCGAUUGGAGCGGCCGAUAUCAGAUUAGGUAGUUGGUGGGGUAAAGGCUCACCAAGCCGACGAUCUGUAGCUGGUCUGAGAGGACGACCAGCCACACUGGGACUGAGACACGGCCCAGACUCCUACGGGAGGCAGCAGUGGGGAAUUUUGGACAAUGGGCGAAAGCCUGAUCCAGCCAUGCCGCGUGCAGGAUGAAGGCCUUCGGGUUGUAAACUGCUUUUGUACGGAACGAAAAGGUUUGGGCUAAUAAGCUGAGCUCAUGACGGUACCGUAAGAAUAAGCACCGGCUAACUACGUGCCAGCAGCCGCCGCCG
rnacentral:rRNA from 1 species